rnacentral:piRNA from 1 species
ACUCUCGGACCAACCAAGUACUGG